GCUACGCUAAGCAACACCGUCUUGCGGUAAAACGAUUCGAUCGUUCAGCAUCAACUCCAUACAACAACUGCAUGCCGAAUCGUGCCUGAGCUUUAAUAUGGCCACAUAAAAUAUCUGGAUAAGUGGCUCGUACAACAGAAUUAAGGGAACGCUCGAUGACAGCCACAUCAAUAAGUAUCGUUCAAAGGACCGCGAUCGAAGACUCGAGACUUUUGCUGCCCCUUGUAAAAUCAGCUGCUUUUUCGCCCCGCUCCCCGGCUACCACCCCCAUGUCCUGCGCGGUUGAAGACGCUCCAUUCUGGAAAAGGUGAACAAGUCCGUCAAAAAGAAGAAUCACGAAAAAUUCUUACGAAGAUUUCGUCCACAAACGAGCAAGUCACAUGAAAGCGGGAACAGACCGAGCAUCAUGGACGAACUUUUCACCAUUAGAUAUUACCUCAAAGUUGUCUUGCUGGAGUUUUCUCUAACAACCUUUAAUACGUCGUGUUAACAGUACAUCGUAGUAACCAUUUGUCAAUGGUAGAAUUUUAAUUAAUUAUGGCCGCAUAUUCAUGGGUACCGUGAGCGCGCACUCAAAGAGAUGCCCCAGAGCAAGCCGUCUCUAGUAUGAACAAAUACGUUUCAUCACUGAACACUUUUAGAAUGAUUACUCAGUUGCAUCUUCCCGUCGACUCCGCCAGAAAAGCUUCGCGAAAUAGCAAACCCCAGCAACAAAAGACAUCAACUCACUAGGUACAUGAAUAACAUGGAAAUACUUCGUGUCUCAUGAAGUUGCCGCGCGACGACUCUGUAAAACCUGAAAAGAUCUGCCUCGGUUAACAGCUCUCAAGAUGCUGCGCGACACGGAAACCACAGUCUGAGAUGUGAAGAAAAAUACAGUCGUAGCCUCGUUGUAUUGUAUAAGGUUAAGUCUGAAAAACUGUUAGUUUAUCAACUGUCAAACCGUUAGGGCCUACUAGUGGGUAGAGCGCGGGCGUAAUCAAAUGUUUUGGGUGACUUUAGAUAGUGGUUGUAAGGCAACUUCAUUAUAACUGAUAUAUUAAUCAACAUCACCAGAGGCCGUAUCAGCAACAUAGGCUGCCGAGAGUGAUCCUCAUAGCUCAGACGGUGACGAACUCAAGGACCGUUCGAUGUUGCGAUUAUAUGAUCGGCCACUUACCAUCUCUUACCGCAGCAGCAGUGUUUCUGCUGCUCGUAGCAAUGACGGUGGCAGUGAAAUAGUGUCGUUUGAAACAGACGACUGGAUGGUAUUUAAGAUGGAUUGAGUUCGUUAACGAUCACAGUUCAGCUCCGUUGGAAUCGUAUUUUGAGUCAGCCCUAAAGCGUGUUAAUCAGUAAGCACUCUGUAUG